GGGGCUGUAGCUCAGUGGUAGAGCACCCACUUCACAUGUGUGAGGCACUGGAUUCAAUCCUCAGCACCA
rnacentral:tRNA from 1 species